rnacentral:rRNA from 1 species
UGCCUAACACAUGCAAGUCGAACGGCAGCACAGCAGAGCUUGCUCUGUGGGUGGCGAGUGGCGGACGGGUGAGUAAUGCAUCGGGACCUACCCAGACGUGGGGGAUAACCUCGGGAAACCGGGACUAAUACCGCAUACGUCCUACGGGAGAAAGCGGGGGAUCUUCGGACCUCGCGCGGUUGGACGGACCGAUGUGCGAUUAGCUAGUUGGUAGGGUAAAGGCCUACCAAGGCGACGAUCGCUAGCUGGUCUGAGAGGAUGAUCAGCCACACUGGAACUGAGACACGGUCCAGACUCCUACGGGAGGCAGCAGUGGGGAAUAUUGGACAAUGGGCGCAAGCCUGAUCCAGCAAUGCCGCGUGUGUGAAGAAGGCCUUCGGGUUGUAAAGCAC